GACUCGGUAGUGUAAUGGAUCAGCACAACAGACGGGAUAUCUGUAAAUGCGGGUUCGAGUCCCGCCUGAGGUU
rfam:Dictyocaulus viviparus strain HannoverDv2000 D_viviparus-1.0_Cont65.9, whole genome shotgun sequence.